rnacentral:rRNA from 1 species
CGUGGGGAACCUGCCCCAUAGUCUGGGAUACCACUUGGAAACAGGUGCUAAUACCGGAUAAUAAAGCAGAUCGCAUGAUCAGCUUUUAAAAGGCGGCGUAAGCUGUCGCUAUGGGAUGGCCCCGCGGUGCAUUAGCUAGUUGGUAAGGUAAAGGCUUACCAAGGCGAUGAUGCAUAGCCGAGUUGAGAGACUGAUCGGCCACAUUGGGACUGAGACACGGCCCAAACUCCUACGGGAGGCAGCAGCC